CCACGCCUGCUGGCGCGGGAUCUCGGCCGAGGUAGUGGUUCUCGCGAUAUCCUCGCCCCCCGGCUGGUGACGCGAGACUUUCUGAGUAGGCGGGGAGAACUGAGUCUUGGUCUCGCUUCGCCCGAUUUGCACUCGGCGUGUGACAUAUCUUCGAGGAAAAGCAAAACAAACAUGGGAGAGUGGUGAACAGUGGAUAAGGGAAGAAAUCAUGUCAGUUUCUCAAUCUUAACUGGCUAAGGUGACUCUCCUCACUCUCCUUCAAUAAUCUCAAAGCUGAGUCCAGGAGUCCCCGAAAUUAAAGAGAAUGGAGUCAGAUGGUCAGCGUCAACUCAAGAAAGGAAGCCCGGA